rnacentral:misc_RNA from 1 species
CUAAGUGAUUUGGGGCCGCCUGUUCAUGCAGGCGCGCACCGGUUACCCGUCCUAGUGUCAUCAGCACGGACCUGCUUUCUGCAGCGACCCCAGGUCGUCUGGCGGACUGUGGGGACGAGAGAAUAUUUCCGUCGAGGUGGUGCGUGCCUUUUCCCUGAGCCGGGUAACUCUUGGCGUGGGGAGGACGCGCCCGCGGCGGGUGUAGAAAGGCUUUUUCUACUCUUGCGAGAAUAUGAAGUCUGAAGCAGCGAAAGCACAAAAACGAAGCA